UUCUCUUCGGAGCAUAGGUAGACAGGUGGUGCAUGGUUGUCGUCAGCUCGUGUCGUGAGAUGUUGGGUUAAGUCCCGCAACGAGCGCAACCCUUAUCUUUAGUAGCCAGCAGUAAGAUGGGGACUCUAGAGAGACUGCCCGGGGUAACCCGGGGGAAGGGGGGGAUGACGUCAAAUCAUCAUGCCCCUUAUGACCUGGGGUACACACGUGCUACAAUGGGGUAAACAAAGGGAAGCGAAACCGUGAGGGGGAGCGAAUCUCAAAAAUAACGUCUCAGUUCGGAUUGUAGUCUGCAACUCCACUACAUGAAACUGGAAUCUCUAGUAAUCGCAAAUCAAAAUGCUGCGGGGAAUACCUUCCCGGGUCUUG
rnacentral:rRNA from 1 species